GCCUGUGCAGGAUCCCUGCAAGUCCAGCAGUGCACACAGAGCUACAAUAACAUGAAACAUUUUGUCUGCUUCAAAACAAAACAAGAAAAAAGAAAAAAAGAUAAAAGGAAAAAAGAAAAAAAGAAAAAAACCCUACUCUUGUGCAAAUAUAAAAGCUUCUUCCCUAUGAGAUGCUGCCCAGAUGACCAGAGAGAGCAGCAGGGCAGUAGGUGGUGGAUAAACGUGGUGGAAGUGGCAGGUUUAUUUUGCUUGGUGAUUUUAUGGUCCAUGAGCACCAGAGUAUGCGUGGUAUACCAUGAGGACAGAAACCCACUGCUACCUCUUACAGCCAACUUUCAAGAAGCAGCCGAGACUUAUAACUUCUUCAGUUCAGAGACGUACUCCUGAGAACAUGUUCAUUAUUUUAAUUGAAGUCUUCAUUGUUGGCUGACUGCCAAGUGGCCUACCAGAUGUCUCUCUCUUUACUAUGGUAGAAGCAGAUUAUGAUGUUCCAGUUCAUUUUUCCUUCACUGACAGCCUGGUUCCAAAAAUGUGCCAGACUUUAAGGGCAAUAUUUUCAAAAGCCAGGUCAACUCACAACAGUACACCAAUGACAGUGCAUGCAGAUACUACAAAACCGUAUGAUAGGCAAUUAACUCAAUGUUAUUUAUGCUAGUAAAGUAACUUUGAUUUUGUUGAGAGUCUUAGCACUGAAGGGGGAGAAUUCUUAAAGUGCCAGUUCUUGGAGUCUGGUGAACAUGGCAGAAUUUGAUCUUUUGCUUGGAAAAUAGGAAGCUUGGGCACAUGGAGUUAAAAGGAAAAACCUGAAUAAUAAUAAUAAAAAAGCUUAUUUAAAAAAAAAAAAAAAAAAAAAAA